rnacentral:rRNA from 1 species
CAUUAUCGAAUUAAACUUUUGGCUGGGGGCGCUUGUUGUGCUGGUCCUUUGGGGCACUGUGAACACGAGUCCCUCUGGUCAUUUUGUUUGUUCUUUUUCCACCUGUGCACUGCUUGUAGACCUUGUGUCUAUGACAUGUUUAUACACACACACAUGUUGUAUUGGUUGGCAUCUUUUAUAUAAUAAAUAAUACAACUUUCAACAAUGGAUCUCUUGGCUCUCGCAUCGAUGAAGAACGCAGCGAAAUGUGAUAAGUAAUGUGAAUUGCAGAAUCCAGUGAAUCAUCGAAUCUUUGAACGCAUCUUGCGCUCCUUGGCAUUCUGAGGAGCAUGCCUGUUUGAGUGUCAUUAAACUAUCGGAACGCUUUUCCUCUCUGGGGAGAGGGAGGGGUGUUUCGGACUUUGGGAGCGCUUUUGCUGGUCUUUGCCAGCUCUCCUGAAAAGCAUUUAGUCGGCAGACAAAUUCAGUGUGAUAACUUUCUUGCGCUGUCUCUGCUUGUUAACGGUUCUUUAAAUUUGACCUCAAAUCAGGUAGGACUACCC